UGCUAACGUUAUCCGGAAUUAUUGGGCGUAAAGCGUCCGCAGGUGGCACCUCAAGUCUGCUGUCAAAGACCGGGGCUUAACCCCAGAAAGGCGGUGGAAACUGAAGUGCUAGAGUGCAGUAGGGGUAGAGGGAAUUCCCGGUGUAGCGGUGAAAUGCGUAGAUAUCGAGAGGAACACCUGCGGCGAAGGCGGGUAGCUGGGCCGACACUGACGCUGAGGCGCGAAAGCUAGGGGAGCAAACGGG
rnacentral:rRNA from 1 species